AGCGAACGCUGGCGGCAGGCCUAAUACAUGCAAGUCGAACGCACCUUCGGGUGAGUGGCGGACGGGUGAGUAACGCGUGGGAACGUGCCCUUUGGUUCGGAACAACACAGGGAAACUUGUGCUAAUACCGAAUGUGCCCUUCGGGGAAGAUUUAUCGCCAUUGGAGCGGCCCGCGUUGGAUUAGCUAGUUGGUAGGGUAAAAGCCUACCAAGGCUACGAUCCAUAGCUGGUCUGAGAGGANGAUCAGCCACACUGGGACUGAGACACGGCCCAGACUCCUACGGGAGGCAGCAGUAGGGAAUCUUGCGCAAUGGGCGAAAGCCUGACGCAGCCAUGCCGCGUGAAUGAUGAAGGUCUUAGGAUUGUAAAAUUCUUUCACCGGGGAAGAUAAUGACGGUACCCGGAGAAGAAGCCCCGGCUAACUUCGUGCCAGCAGCCG
rnacentral:rRNA from 1 species